GGUGAAAGGCUUGCUGCCUGAAGAAGAGCUUGCGUCCGAUUAGCUAGUUGGUAAGGUAAAGGCUUACCAAGGCAUCGAUCGGUAGCUGGUCUGAGAGGAUGACCAGCCACACUGGGACUGAGACAAGGCCCAGACUCCUACGGGAGGCAGCAGUGGGGAAUUUUCCGCAAUGGGCGAAAGCCUGACGGAGCAAUACCGCGUGAGGGAAGAAGGCUCUUGGGUUGUAAACCUCUUUUCUCAGGGAAUAAUAAAAUGAAGGUACCUGAGGAAUAAGCAUCGGCUAACUCCGUGCCAGCAGCCGCGGUAAUACGGAGGAUGCAAGCGUUAUCCGGAAUGAUUGGGCGUAAAGCGUCCGCAGGUGGAACAACAAGUCUAGUGUCAAAGACCGGGGCUCAACCCCGGGACGGCGGUGGAAACUGUUGAACUAGAGGGUCGUAGGGGUAGAGGGAAUUCCCAGUGUAGCGGUGAAAUGCGUAGAGAUUGGGAAGAACAUCGGUGG
rnacentral:rRNA from 2 species